rnacentral:tRNA from 1 species
AAUAAAGUGCCUGAUUAAAGGGUUAUCUUGAUAGGAUAAAUAAUGUGAAUUCACCUUUAUUA